GUCGAGUUCAUAAAAGCUGCCUUUGCAGGACUACAGGAAAAUCCUCACUGUGCUUAUGGAAGUCUUAAGAGAGAAGUAAAACCUCUGCUAUUUUUUGUGUAACUGCAAGCAAAGUUUACAUCUCUUUCCAAGUUUAUGACCUUGACAAUACAAAUGCAUUAAAACUUCAUCACUGGGAUGGUCUCUUGUCACAGUUUCUUGCAAGCAGUCAUUUUUCCCCUGCAGCCAUCCCUUAUGCCAGUCUUCUGUGCUUCUUUUCUGCAAUGUGUGAAAACGUUGGCUCCAGCUGUUAUAUUGUCUGGAAAGACCUCCCCACAGCUGGUGAUUAUAAGGGGAAAUGUUAUCUGAUGGGCUUAAAAGGACCUGACAGCUGCCAGCAGCUCUUUGGUCAGCUGAGAGGCCACAUGCAAUGUCCUCUCUGGACCUGCCUCAGGGUACAGCAACGCUGAUGCCUGCUGCCUUCUCCCAGCUCCCAGCCACAUACGAGCUCCCAGCUUCAAUACGAAAUUCAGAGGUAUGACUGUCCUGUUACGAAAGAAUCUCACUGUAUUACACAGUGAGUAUUACCACGGUUUUGAAGGUGUCAUUGUGGUUAAAAUGAGAGGCACGGGACUCAACUCUAAAUCUCCUUUAUUUCCUCUGCUACCAUGCUGCUGCUCUGUGCUUUGAAAUGAAUCAGUUUGUCCAACAAUAAAAACAUGUAAUCACAA